GUGCCAGCUGCCGCGGUAAUACCGGCAGCCCGAGUGAUGGCCGAUCUUAUUGGGCCUAAAGCGUCCGUAGCUGGCUGCGCAAGUCCGUCGGGAAAUCCACUCGCCCAACGAGUGGGCGUCCGACGGAAACUGCACAGCUUGGGACCGGAAGGCUCGAGGGGUACGUUCGGGGUAGGAGUGAAAUCCCAUAAUCCCGCACGGACCACCGAUGGCGAAAGCACCUCGAGAAGACGGCUCCGACAGUGAGGGACGAAAGCUAGGGUCUCGAACCGGAUUAGAUACCCCUGUAGUCC
rnacentral:rRNA from 1 species